rnacentral:rRNA from 1 species
GACGGGGGAUGCAAGUGUUAUCCGGAAUCACUGGGCGUAAAGCGUCUGCAGGUGGUUUCCUAAGUCCACUGUUAAACCUUGAGGCUCAACCUCAAAUCUGCAUUGGAAACUAGGAGACUUGAGUAUAGUAGGGGUAGAGGGAAUCUCCAGUGGAGCGGUGAAAUGCGUAGAUAUUGGAAAGAACACCGAUGGCGAAGGCACUCUACUGGGCUAUUACUGACACUCAGAGACGAAAGCUAGGGGAGCAAAUGGG